UACAGAGGGCGCGAGCGUUAAUCGGAAUUAGUGGGCGUAAAGCGUGCGGAGGCGGUCAUAUAAGUCAGGUGUGAAAUCCCCGGGCUCAACCUGGGAAUUGCAUUUGAGACUGCGUAGCUAGGGUGCGGAAGAGGGAAGCGGAAUUUCCGGUGUAGCGGUGAAAUGCGUAGAUAUCGGAAGGAACACCAGUGGCGAAAGCGGGUUUCUGGUCCAGCCUCGACGGUGAGGCACGAAAGCGUGGGGAGCAAACAGG
rnacentral:rRNA from 1 species